AAUUUUUGUUCUGAUGCUGGGGACUCAAACCAGUACCUCCUAUACAACGUUACCACUCUACUAACUGAACUAUCUAUAAGCCCAGCAGUGUGAACCUUACAUUUGUUUUGUUCUUUUGAAGAAUACUGGCCAUAUCCCAGGGACAUUUUUUUUUUCCUUUCCCACAGCCUCUUUUGGUUUUCUUUUUUUUUUUUUUCUUUUUUUCUAUUUUAAGAAAAAAAUACCUUUUUAAAACAACAACAACAAUAACUAUGUGUCUCUGGGUAGGUAUGUACAUGUGACUGCAGUGCCCAUAGAGGCCAGAGAGGGGUAUUGUGUCUCCUGGAUCUGCAGUUAUGAGCCUCAAUCAAUUGUGAGCCACCUGAUGUGAGAGCUAGGAGCUGAACUCAGGUCAUCUGCAAGAGCAGCAAGCACCCUUAACUACAGAGUGGUCUUUGAGCCACCCACAAGCCUCUUCUGAUAGCCCAAAGUAUGCAUCCUAGCAUAGAUUGCUGGGCUAUUAGGAUUAUCCUUUCCAUGUGACAGAGAACUCAGUACGGUUUGGUGUGCCCUGGCACAGACUCUGUGUCCACCAUGACUGUGGUCACAGGUCCACCCCUCAGACUGUCCAAUAUCUGGAUGUCCUCACUGGGCCAGCUGAGUCCAACCUUUCCUGAUUGAGUGGGUCCUACACUCACUCAUCUGUGCACUCACUGGUGUGUGUGUGUGUGUGUGUGUGUGUGUGUGUGUUUCCUGACUGGUUAUUGUCCCCUUAGGGUAAAGAAUUACAGGCUGCUCUUUGCUUGGCCUGAGAAAGGUGCUUCUGUUUGGGGUCUACUGUGUGCUGUUUAUACGACUGAAUCUGGAGAUUCUCGGCACAGCUCCACUCUCUGGGUUCACAGCCAUCCUGGAGACUAUUGGAAGAGAGCAGGCCAAAGCAGAAAUAAACACACCGUGAAUAUAACCGCUGAGCUUGUCCUGGUAAAUCCGAGUUAAAUGCUUCUAAAAAUAUAUUUCUGGAAAGGUAAAGUAAGGCCCACUCACAGCCCAAGACAGAAGCUAUAAAGGAGAGAAAAACCACAGUUACAGCCCCAUAAAGAGAUCACAGUUGCCAUUAAAGUGACGUUGAAGCCGCUUCUGGCCUCACAGUGGUUUAUAUACAUGGGCAAGGCUCAGAUAACACUGUCGGUAUUGGAUUUUGUUUUUGUUUCGACUCUUGCCAUUUUGUAAAUAUUUCUCCGUGUCAUUAAAGAAGGUAGAGGGAAUCUUAUUUAAAAUUUAUUUCAGCCUUUUUUUUCUUGUGGAAAAAUAUCUAAACAUUUUAAAAACAAAUUAAAACGUAGAACGAAGACCAGGAACCUCAUUCACAUACCAACCACCUAGGAGGUGGGUAUUAGCAAACUGUGAACAAACAUAUUUUACAUCCUUAAAACGUGAAAUU
rnacentral:lncRNA from 1 species